AUAUUACUACCUCCGUCCGGAAAUACUUGUCAUCAAAAUGGAUAAAAAGGUAUGUAUCUAGAACUAAUAUACAUCUAGAUACAUCCCCUUUUAUUCAUUUUGAUGACAAGUAUUUCCGGACGGAGGGAGUAUAUA
rfam:Triticum aestivum genome assembly, contig: Triticum_aestivum_CS42_TGACv1_scaffold_271976_3DS